UACGGGGGGGGCAAGCGUUGUUCGGAAUUACUGGGCGUAAAGGGCCAGUAGGCGGCCAACUAAGUCGGAUGUGAAAUCCCCAGGCUUAACCUGGGAACUGCAUCCGAUACUGGAUGGCUUGAAUUCGGGAGAGGGAUGCAGAAUUCCAGGUGUAGCGGUGAAAUGCGCAGAUAUCGGGAGGAACACCGGUGGCGAAGGCGGUUCUCUGGGCCUUACCUGACGCUGAGGAGCGAAAGCGUGGGGAGCGAACAGG
rnacentral:rRNA from 1 species